rfam:Oryza sativa Japonica Group DNA, chromosome 1, cultivar: Nipponbare, complete sequence.
UUUAAGUGUAACUGUGCCUUUUUUUUUUCCAAAGUUUGACCGUCUAUCUUAUUUAAAAUUUUUUAUGUUUAGUAUUUUUUACUAUUAUUAGAUGAUAAAAUAUGAAUAAAACUUUAUACGUGACUUAUUAUUUUUUAUUUUUAUAAUUUUUAGAUAAGAGGAACAAUCAAACAUUAUAUAUAGAAACCCACACACUUAAA